rnacentral:rRNA from 1 species
UACGUAGGUGGCGAGCGUUGUCCGGAUUUACUGGGCGUAAAGGAUGCGUAGGCGGAUAAUUAAGUGAGAUGUGAAAUACCCGGGCUUAACCUGGGGGGUGCAUUUCAAACUGGUUGUCUAGAGUGCAGGAGAGGAAAGUGGAAUUUCUAGUGUAGCGGUGAAAUGCGUAGAUAUUAGGAAGAACACCAGUGGCGAAGGCGGCUUUCUGGACUGUUACAGACGCUGAGGCAUGAAAGCAUGGGUAGCGAACAGGAUUAGAUACCCUGGUAGUCCAUGCCGUAAACGAUGAAUACUAGGUGUAGGAGGUAACGAGACCUUCUGUGCCGCCGUAAACACAUUAAGUAUUCCGCCUGGGGAGUACGAUUGCAAGAUUAAAACUCAAAGGAAUUGACGGGGGCCCGCACAAGCAGCGGAGCAUGUGGUUUAAUUCGAAGCAACGCGAAGAACCUUACCUAAACUUGACAUAUCCUGAAUUACCUGUAAAAAGGGAAGCCCUUCGGGGCAGGAAUACAGGUGGUGCAUGGUU